GGGGACUUAGCUCAGCUGGGAGAGCAACUGCCUUGCAAGCAGUAGGUCAGGGGUUCGACCCCCCUAGUUUCCACCA
rnacentral:tRNA from 1 species